UGCCGGAUCGUACAGCGGUUAGUACAGCUGACUCUGACUCAGCAGACCUUGGUUCGAUUCCAGGUCCGGCAACCA
rnacentral:tRNA from 2 species